rnacentral:SRP_RNA from 1 species
CUGUGCUAGACGGGGAGGUAGCGGUGCCUUGUACCUGCAAUCCGCUAUAGCAGGGUGGAAUUCCCAUUGCAGGCUUUUCUUUUGUAAGGUCUGUUCCUCGCAAGUGGCAAUGAAAACCGGGUCUUACGCAACGGAGACCUGUGAACCCCGUCAGGUCCGGAAGGAAGCAGCGGUAAGCAGUACUCUUCGUGUGCCGUAAGUUUGCCUGGUUAGAGUUAACUACGAGGGUAACGCUUAUAAAAAUCAGUCGAAGAUGGGUGCACAG